rnacentral:rRNA from 1 species
GGAAUAUUGCGCAAUGGACGGAAGUCUGACGCAGCGACGCCGCGUGGAGGAUGAAGGCCCUAGGGUCGUAAACUCCUUUUUACCAAGCCGUUCACAGCUUGGAGAAUAAGCCUCUACUAACUACGUGCCAGAAGUCUCGGUAAUACGUAGGAGGCAAGCGUUAUCCGGAUUCAUUGGGCGUAAAGUGUGCGUAGGCGUUCCGUAAAGUCUUUGCUUAAAGACCAAGGCUUACCCUUGGGAAUGGCAGGGAUACUCGCGGAAUUGAGGAUUGGUAGGGAUGCUGGAACAGUUAGUGUAGCAGUGAAAUGCGUUGAUACUAACUGGAACACCAAGGGCGAAGGCAAGCAUCUGUGCUCUUCCUGACGCUGAGGCACGAAAGCUAGGGUAGCGAAACAGAUUAGAUACCUGUGUAGUCCUAGCCGUAAACGAUGUCCGCUAACUCUUUCUGAUUUAUUGGAAGGGGUACAAGCUAACGCAUUAAGCGGACCGCCUGGGGAGUACGACCGCAAGGUUA